rnacentral:rRNA from 1 species
GAUGAACGCUAGCUACAGGCUUAACACAUGCAAGUCGAGGGGAAACGACAUCGAAAGCUUGCUUUUGAUGGGCGUCGACCGGCGCACGGGUGAGUAACGCGUAUCCAACCUGCCCACCACUUGGGGAUAACCUUGCGAAAGUAAGACUAAUACCCAAUGAUAUCUCUAGAAGACAACUGAAAGCGAUUAAAGAUUUAUCGGUGAUGGAUUGGGAUGCGUCUGAUUAGCUUGUUGGCGGGGUAACGGCCCACCAAGGAUACGAUCAGUAGGGGUUAUGAGAGGAAGGUCCCCCACAUUGGAACUGAGACACGGUCCAAACUCCUACGGGAGGCAGCAGUGAGGAAUAUUGGUCAAUGGACGAGAGUCUGAACCAGCCAAGUAGCGUGCAGGAUGACGGCCCUAUGGGUUGUAAACUGCUUUUAUAAGGGAAUAAAGUGAGUCUCGUGAGACUUCUUGCAUGUACCUUAUGAAUAAGGACCGGCUAAUUCCGUGCCAGCAGCCGCAGUAA